AUUGAACGCUGGCGGCAGGCCUAACACAUGCAAGUCGAACGAGUGGCGGACGGGUGAGUAAUGACUGUGAAACUGCCUGAUGGAUGGGGAUAACUACUGGAAACGGUAGCUAAUACCGCAUACCAUCGGAUGUGCCCAUAUGGGAUUAGCUAGUAGGUGGGGUAACGGACCACCGAGGCGACGAUCCCUAGCGGGUCUGAGAGGAUGACCCGCCACACGGGAACUGAGACACGGUACAGACUCCUACGGGAGGACGCAGUGGGGAAUAUUGCACAAUGAGCGGAAGCCUGAUGCAGCCAUGACGCGUGUAUGAAGAAGGCAUUCGGGUUGUAAAGUACUUUCAGCGGGGAGGCGUUACCCGCAGAAGAAGCACCGGCUAACUCCGUGCCAGCAGCCGCGGUAAUAC
rnacentral:rRNA from 1 species